UUUUUUACGCAUAUGUAAUCAUCUCAAUACAUUUUACUGUUCCUGUUGAUUUUCUGACAGGUAUAGAAAAACGUAUUAUAUGGUUCAUCAGUUCCUAGUGUGUAAAAAGAACAAAAUUACUGUUAUACGGUAAAUAAAAAAAACCGUUAUCGGCAGUAACCUUUUUGCAUAUCCAAAAAUAUUUCUGAUUUGAUGGCGGUCAAGAUAAAGCCGCCGUUUUUCUUUUUCCUC
rnacentral:ncRNA from 1 species